GAUGAACGCUGGCGGCGUGCCUAAUACAUGCAAGUCGAGCGAACGGACGAGAAGCUUGCUUCUCUGAUGUUAGCGGCGGACGGGUGAGUAACACGUGGAUAACCUACCUAUAAGACUGGGAUAACUUCGGGAAACCGGAGCUAAUACCGGAUAAUAUUUUGAACCGCAUGGUUCAAAAGUGAAAGACGGUCUUGCUGUCACUUAUAGAUGGAUCCGCGCUGCAUUAGCUAGUUGGUAAGGUAACGGCUUACCAAGGCAACGAUGCAUAGCCGACCUGAGAGGGUGAUCGGCCACACUGGAACUGAGACACGGUCCAGACUCCUACGGGAGGCAGCAGUAGGGAAUCUUCCGCAAUGGGCGAAAGCCUGACGGAGCAACGCCGCGUGAGUGACGAAGGUCUUCGGAUCGUAAAACUCUGUUAUUAGGGAAGAACAUAUGUGUAAGUAACUGUGCACAUCUUGACGGUACCUAAUCAGAAAGCCACGGCUAACUACGU
rnacentral:rRNA from 1 species